CAAGUCGAGCGGCCUCACAGUAAGAGCUUGCUCUUACCGGUGGCGAGUGGCGGACGGGUGAGGAAUGCAUCGCAUUCUACUCUGACGGGGGGGAUAACGUAGGGAAACUUACGCUAAUACCGCAUAUCACCUACGGGUGAAAGCAUGGGAUCUUCAGACCUUGCGCGAUUGAUUGAGCCGAUGCCCGAUUAGCUAUUUGGCGGGGUAAAAGCCCCCCAAGGCCACGAUCGGUAUCUGGUCUGAAAGGAUGAUCAGCCUCACUGGAACUGAGACACGGUCCAGACUCCUACUCCAGGCAGCAGUGGGGAAUAUUGGACAAUGGGCGCGAGCCUGAUCCAGCCAUACCGCGUGGGUGAAAAAGGCCUUCGGUUUGUAAAGCCCUUUUGUUGGUAAAAAAAAGCAACCGGUUAAUACCCGGUUGUUCUGACCGUACCCAAACAAUAAGCACCGGCUAACUUCAUGCCCGCGCCCGCGGUAAUACGAAUGGUGCAAGCGUUACUCUUAAUUACUGGUCGUAAAGCGUGCGUACGUGGUUGUUUAAGUCUGUCUUGAAAGCCCUGGGCUCAACCUGGGAAUGGCAAUGGAAACUGGGCGACUAGAAUGUGGCUGAGGAUAAUGGAAUUCCUGGUGUACCAGUGAAAUGCAUAUAGAUCAAGAGGAACAUCAGUGGCGAAGGCGACUGCCUGGGCCAACACUGACACUGAGGCACGAAAGCGUGGGGAGCAAACAGGAUUAGAUACACUGGUAGUCCACGCCCUAAACGAUGCGAACUGGAUGUUGGGUGCAAAUUUGUCACGCACUAUCGAAGCUAACGCGAUAAGUUCGCCGCCUGGGCAGUACGGUCGCAAGACUGAAACUCAAACGGAAUUGACGUGGGCGCGCACCAGCGGUGCAGUAUGUGGUUUAAUUCGAUGCAACGCGACGAACCUUACCUUGACCUUGACAUGCACGGCAUCUUUACACACAUGGAUUGGUGCGUUCCGCAUCCGUGACACAAGUGCUGCAUGGCUGUCGUCAGCUCGUCUCUCGAGAUGU
rnacentral:rRNA from 1 species